UACGUAGGGUGCAAGCGUUAAUCGGAAUUACUGGGCGUAAAGCGUGCGCAGGCGGUGAUGUAAGACAGUUGUGAAAUCCCCGGGCUCAACCUGGGAACUGCAUCUGUGACUGCAUCGCUGGAGUGCGGCAGAGGGGGAUGGAAUUCCGCGUGUAGCAGUGAAAUGCGUAGAGAUGUGGAGGAACACCAAUGGCGAAGGCAGCCUUCUGGGCCAACACUGACGCUCAUGCACGAAAGCGUGGGGAGCAAACAGG
rnacentral:rRNA from 1 species